ensembl:lncRNA
UGGGUGGGUAGGGCAGGCUCCCAGUGGCCAGCUGAGCCCAGCUCUGGAUGGGAUGGCCUAGCUUCAGGGGAUGCGUUACCGGCUGACCGGUGGCAUUCUGAGGAUGCCAAAGGUCUGGGGUCUAUGGGAGUGGUCAGCUGGGGUCUUCCUAGUCUAGGGCCCUAAUGCUGGGAGCUGAGCCUCUGCUGUUCUGACAGAGGCCAGGUGAGCCCUCCCUCGGGUCUUCUGGCUUUGCCUAGGUCUUGGGACCCCCUCGUCCACUUGGGAUUCUGCCAGGACUCUAGCCUACGGCUCCCUGUGGACAGAAGGCAUUGGGUUCCAAGUUGGCUCUGGGUGGACCAAGGGCUGGUCUCUCCUGGGAGCGCCUGGGGUGUGGGGCAGUGAAGCCAGCCACUGUCCAGGCUGAGAACUGUGCCACCGUGGAGACCCUGCAGCCACCCCACCUGCCGCAGAACUUCCUAUGGGCUGGGAGGGGUGGGCCAGUGUCGGGGAGGGGUCACUGUUUCUACCUUGGUUCACCUGGGUCAGCUGGCUGACUCCUUCCUCACCUGGAGAGUGCUCGAGGACAGCAAGAAAAAUGAGGGACUUUCAGGGGCAGCUGUGUUUUCUGACUCAGUCAUAAUGCCCCUAAAAAUCCUUAUUGUUCUUGCAGUGUGCAUCAGGCGGCGGCCCCAGCCCAGCCCUUGCCCACCUGGCCUCUCUGGGAUGGGGAGAACUACCUGGGGUUCAGCUGGCGUGCCCUCCCACGUUUUCCUGAAAUGAGACUGUAGGGGGAUUUGCUGAUGAGUUAAUGUUUUGUUGGUUGAUGCAUUGAUUGGCAUGUACUUUUAUAAUUUCUUUUUUGGUGGAGGAUGGGGUAGGCUGGGCACUGAGACACUCGCGCACAGAUCGGAGCCCAGGAGAAUGCAAGGUCUCCCUGGUUUGUGCGCAGUGAGGGGUCCCUAGAACUUAGCUGCACAUUACAGCCUGAGGAAGGGGAGCUUCAAGGGCAGGUGUACCCAGGGCUAGGUCAUGUCCUACUCUUGAUGACCCCAUGGACUGUAGCCUGCCCAGUUCCUUUGUCCAUGGAGUUUUUCAGGCAGGAAUACUGGAGUGGGUUGCCAUUUCCUUCUCCAGGGGAUCAUCCCGACCCAGGGAUUGAACCUGCGUCUCCCACAUUGGCAGGCAGAUUCUUUACCACUGAGCCACCUGGGAAGCCCCAUUUAGGGGCACUGUGUUUUAAAACGGGAGGAGCCUCAGUGUGCACCGCUGAGCUGGCCGUUUUGCAAAUCUGCCUGCAGUGGACCGAGGUCUUCCCGCAGCUGUUGCCCCUAGAGCCUGCUUUCUCUUGGGCGGGUGGUCUCUACCCUGUCUCACUUCCUGGGUCUCCACCUUGCCCAGCAGGUGCCUCAACCAGUUAUUUUGGACGUUUUGGGUAGAACUGGGGUUCCUGGGGGAUGGUCAAGCAGAAAUACAAGUUGGUGACAUGUCUUCCAGAACACAAGAACGCCAUUCAACAAAGAUGUCACUAAACGCCACAGCCACACAAUCAUCCGCUCUGGCUGAGGCUGGGCAGGUGGCCAGCCCACAGAUGGACGGACAGGGAGGUGGCAGGGCAGUAAGCAGGGCUGAGCCUGCUCCCAGGGGCGCCCCUCCGGGGUCUCACUGGCCUCCCAGGUCAGUCGAGGAAUUCAUCCUUAAGGUAUUGCUCAGGCUCCCUCCCCAGGUGCCGACUCGCACGUUCCACUGUUCCACUCGCUGCAUGUGGACUCUGGCCGCCAGGAUCCUCCUUCCUCCUGGCCAGCCCCAGCUGCCCACUCCUCCUCGGGCUCCUGUGAUCCGGAUAGCUGUCUCCAUCCCAGCCCCGGAGACAAUUUUUAAGGAGCUUCAACAUUCUUCUGUCCAGGGGAAGGGACGGCUCCAAGACAGAGGACCGAGGCUCAGGAGACUCCCCAGAGGACACACAGCAAGGAUGCGGCCAAGCUGGGGUAUAGACAUGCAGUUUCUGACUCCAAGGCCAGUGCUUUCUGUAAUUGCUAUUUAUAGUAAGCAUAUGUCGUUAGACCCAGAUGUGGUCAUCACAGCCUCCUGAGGUGGGUGGGUAAACGCCACUGUCUCACGGAGAAGGUGUCUGCCCCCUGGGGAGACGGGGUGGUUGGCCCCUACUCCCCCAAAUGCCGAGUGUGUACGUGGCCAGCUUAGAUCCACAGUCUGCCCCCAUCAGCCUGCAUGCUGCCGAGGAUCCCAGUUCUGAGCAGGGCAGGGUUUAACCCUAUUUGCAGACCUCGCAAAAGGCAUGGCCCAGGUCUCACAGCUGGGGGGUGGCGGAGGCCCACCGGUCCCUGCUCCUUGCCGGCAGGCUGACACAGAGCCUGUGUGGGGUUUGCUCAUGGGGCCCUGCUCUGAGCUGGCGGCCCUCGGGGUCAGGAUGCCUGCUGGGGGUGCCUCCCUGCCCCUCCCUUGUUCCUGCAGAGCUGGACUCCCGGAGCCUGGCCUGAGAGCUGCCUGGGCAAGCUGCCAGUGCAGGGAAGUAGCGGGCAGGCACAGUGUUGGCUCCAGGAAGUGUCUCUGUUCCUGGGCCGGUCUGCAGGACUGGAGGGCCUGGACAUAACAGCAGAGAUGAGAGCUGAGGGCUAAGCACGCCUCCCGCCAGCCCCCCCAGGCUCAGCUGCUCCGGGCCGGGGCCGUGCCUUCCCUUGCUGGGCCUGGGCUCUCUCCUCCGUCUGGCUCCCGCCCUCCUCCCCACCAGCUCUGUGCUGCCAAGUACACGCUCUCGGCGGCAACGACAUCCAUUUAACCUGCUUCCCAGAAGACAGCAUGGUUACGCGGGCCGGCUCAGCCAGCACCAUGGUGGGAGAUGGGGAGGGGGCCCCCUCAGCUUGGUCUUCUCUUGCCCAUAUUUCUUAGGGAUCUGGGUGUGUGUCGGGGGGGUGGCCCUAAGCAACCUUGCUUACCUGGAUCAGAAGUAACCUCAGCUCAACUGGAAGCCUUGAGCAGCCACACUAAAGACAGAACUUUGAGAUCCUGGAGUUGGUGGGUGUUUGUAUUAGGGGCAAUCAUUUAGCCUGAGGCUGAGGGUAAAGCUAGCUUCCCUAAGUAGCUCAGUUGGUAAAGAAUCCACCUGCAAUGCAGGAGACCCCGGUUCAAUUCUUGGGCCGGGAAGAUCCCCUGGAGAAGGGACAGGCUACCCACUCCAGUCUUCUUGGGCUUCCCUAGUGGCUCAGUUGGUAAAGAAUCCGCCUGCAUUGCAGGAGACCUGGGUGCGAUCCCUGGGUUGGGAAGAUCCCCUGGAAAAGGGAACAGCUACCCACUCCAGUGUUCUGGCCUAGAGAAUUCCAUGGACUGUAUAGUCCAUGGGGUUGCAAAGAGUCAGACAUGACUAAGUGACUUUCACUUGGGUAAAGCUGCCUCCCCUGAGCCUGUUGCUGCGUUUGUUUUUUUUUUAAUGUUUAUUUUUUUGGCUGCAUUCUAUCCCUGACAAGGGAUCAAACCUGGGCUCCCUACUUUGGGAACCCAGAGUCAUAGCCACUUCACUACCAGGGAAGGCCCACCGCGUUCCUUUAAUAGCCAUAAUAGAACGCUCUAGCCAUAUUCUGAACGCACAAGUUGUGGUUCCUUCUCCCCUCCCCAGAUACUUCACUGGGGAACCUGGGGAGGUGUCAGCGUGGAGAGCGUGUUCAUUUCAUGCCAGCUGUGCUGUGCUGCUCAGGAAGCGAGUGUAGGUCUUCAGGCAUUGCAUAGUGUCUUCUGUUUGUGAUCUCUACAAAGAUGACCUUUCCUGCAAUCUCCUCUCUGGCCCUCCUGCCCUGGCCAGACCCUGUUAGGAUGGUGGUUCUGAACCGAGAAGCUGGCCCCUUUGCGCCUCUUGUCUGGCCCUCGAGGCCCAGGGAGGCAUCCUCCCCCUCAUUGGGGUUCAUCCUACAAGUCCAGAUGCCGUCAGCUCCAGGGCCUCCCUCUGGGCCAGAGCUCGUCCCUCCCCACCAGCCUCCUUGGGGUGCAGAUGGACGGCCCAGCACAGUCAGGAAUAGCCCUCUGUUUGCCUUGGCUGGUGGGGAAGAGAUUACUGCUCACUUUCUGUUUUGACUCUUAUAUUUAGCUAACACACAGAGCCUGUGAGAUCGCAGAAAAGCAGCCUUGGGUCUUGAAUGAGUCUGGGGCCCGUCCCUGAUGGCCUGGCGCCUGUUGAGUGGAGGUGUCUGAAGUAGGCAUGAGUGAUAACACUGCCUUCUGGGUACAUGGAGAGAGCAGCCAUGGGGAAAGAGGCAUUCACUUUUCAUGGGAGUUGCUGGGUUGACGGAACUUCUGGUGACCACUCUCGUUCUUCACUUGAGGACGAAGCCAACAAAAAGGAAAGAAGCAAGAAGUGGGAAAAGUAUGCUGUCCAGAUACCAGUAAGCCGCUGGACCCAGCCAUGCCUGAAACUGACCACAUCUCUGGACUAAUCUGAUUAUAUGAGCCAAUGAAUGCGUUUCAUUUUUUGUAAAACUAUCCUGAGCUGUGUUUCUGUCAUAGAAAGGGUCCUAAGAAAACUAUAUUUUUCUUUGGUCUCAUUAAAAAAAAAUCAACCUUAAGGUAUACUUUACAUGCAGCCAUUUUAAAAUGUCCAGUUCAUACAUUUUUUCAAAUGUGUACACCCCGUAACUACUACCGCAGUCGAGCUGUAGAACAUUUAAAGUUCCCCAUUCCCCUUUAUGGUGAGUUCUCCUGACCCCAACCAGCCACUGACCUGCCUUUGUCCUCGAGAUUUAUUCAGUCUUCUCUUGGUUCAGGCCCCUGGAGGUUGAGGAGAGCAUUUCCUCGAUGCUCAGAUUAUGGAUCAACCUGGGUCAUUUCUCCUGGUCCAACUGUGCUGAAGCCAGAUGCACCUCAGUUUUGUGGUUCAAUACAGCCUUCUCUUCGUUUGAGCCAGCUCACCACAGAAGAGAGUCCUGGCUGAUGCAGCUUAUCCACCGCACCCUUCAGUAAGCUCCGCCCAAGAACCUCCAGGCAAAACCAACUAAUGGUCAGUCCAGCUCACCUCCUGGGAGCCAGACACUAGCAAGCGCUUUACACGCAUUAUCUCAAGUCUUCUCAGCAACCCUCGGGAGGUGCUGUUAGCCCCACUUCACUGGGCUGUGGGUGUGUUGCAUACCUCUGCACCUCCUCUGUCCACCAGGUUCCUGACUUCUUGUCCCACAGCUGAAGCUGACCCCUCCCAGACCACAUGCCAGGGUAAGGGGGCUGGAUCCCGAAUGGCCAAAGAGGCUGAAGAACUCAAGCCAUACACGUGGAGGGAGUUCGUUUUCGGGACAAACUUUGAGCCGUAGCUUAAGCACCUUCGGCAGGAAAGAGCUCAGGAGGCCCUGUCGUCAGUAACCUAGCACACCUUUCAGAUCUUGUGGUCACAAAAUACCUUGCCUAACCUGCUGGUUCUUCCCACAGAUCAAAGAAGUAGAAAUGAAGAAUAAGUAAUUACCAGGUGACCAGAUCUCUUCCCCAGCUUCCCCUUCAGUAAUCUCAUGAACAAAUGGUGGGAACAAGAUAGCAUCUAACAAGAAAGAUCACAAGAAGUCGACAAGCCUGCACACAGCUGGGGAUCAUGACACCUCUGACCCCCUCCAUCCGUGAUUAACUGAGCUGACUUCUCUUUUCCCCCUUAGAAACUUCCAUGGCCACGCAGACUCUUCAGAGCUGGUUUUGGCGGAACACCUGAGUAUACCAUCUCCCCAGACUGCCGGCAUUCCGAUUAAAAGGAACUUUGCUUUCUAUCAACAACUGCUUCUUGGGUGUUGAUUUCCAAGCAGCUGGACUGAGUUUGGAAACAGCAGAUGAGACAGGAGGAUAAAUUCCUUCAUCCUCCAUCCCUUGGACCACUUGAGGCACAUUUUCCAGAUGGGGUUUGUUGUACAGUGGUUACACGUCACCUUGCUUUGCUUCCUGUUCUCCCCGACCUCCUUUCUCUUAUCCCUCCCUCUAGCUGCCCUGGAAUUCCACUUCCAAGUUAAUGUAUCAGCCCUUAAUCCCUUGCCAGAGGGCCCACUCUUGAGGGAACUUAGCAGUCUGACGCCUGGGUCUGCACUUCAUGGCCUCAGUGAAUGCUGACCAAGAGGACAGAUACACGAUGGAUCACGGCCAUGGGGUUGGGGACUGAGGAGGGAAUACGGAUAGUGCCAAAUUCACCAUCAGAGGUACCAGUGAUAAAGGUGUCCCCAUCAUCUCUCCUGUUCCAUUCACUGGGUCUAAUCAGUCAAAUCCUGACUCCAUGCUAUAGGUCAGAGACUGUGGCAUCCCCCACUAACCUGUGUCCAGUACGAAACAGUGCACACUCCUUAUCCAUCACUUGCGGGGUAUGUGAUGCUGGAAGGUGCUCAGCCUCUCUGAGUUGCCUUCCCCAUCUGUACAGUGGGGAUAAGACUGGGCUCACCACCUGAAACUGUGGAGAUGCCUAAUGGACACGAGGUUUGUGCUUAAAGCAGAGUACGGGGAGGGCAUCGUGGAGGCUACCUGUCCAAUAGUGAUCCUGCUCUCUUUUGAGAAGCACCCCUCCUUCCUUCUGUCCCUACUGGGUAAAUAGGGCUGUCCCACCCCUACUGCCAGAUCCAGGCCAAUCCACACAUCUCUACUGACCACAAGAUUGGAUCAGGCCUGGGCAUGAGACCCAAGUCAGACCAGUCCCUGCCACAGUUCCCUGAAGUUUCUGGAACAAUGAAAGAGGUGUUUGCUCUUUGCUUUUAGCCUGGAGCUACCUGAGGCCAUUUUUUAUUAUUUGGACAUGUGAGAAUGAACGUCAGUGCGGUGACGUCAGAAGAUAGCAACGCCAAGAGAUGGAGCAGGAUGCAAACUUCUGGUGAUGGCCUUGGAGCUCCCAGAUCUACCAUGCCAGCAGCUAGGGAACCCCUGGUAUUUUUAGAAAUUAAAACAUAGGCAAAAAUUUUCCAUUUCAGUUGCCUAAGCCAGUUCAAGUUGCAUUUCUGUUACUUAAAACUGAAAUGGUCUUGGGUCUUACCUUGUGGGCCAAUGAUGAAGAAUCCACCUGCCAAUUUAGGGGACAUGGGUUCGAUCCCUGGUCCGGAAAGAUCCCACAUGCCACAGGGUAACUAAGCCCACCCUCUAGAGCCCAUGCUUCUUUUGUUGAAGAAGCAUGUUUGCUUCUGUAACAAGAAGCUUGUUUGCAGGCAACGGUGAAGAGCCUGCGACUAGAAAAAGCCUGAGCCCA